UACGGAGGGAGCUAGCGUUGUUCGGAUAUACUGGGCGUAAAGCGCACGUAGGCGGCGCCGUAAGUCAGGGGUGAAAUCCCGGAGCUCAACUCCGGAACUGCCCUUGAAACUGCAGUGCUAGAAUCCUGGAGAGGCGAGUGGAAUUCCGAGUGUAGAGGUGAAAUUCGUAGAUAUUCGGAAGAACACCAGUGGCGAAGGCGACUCGCUGGACAGGUAUUGACGCUGAGGAGCGAAAGCUAGGGGAGCAAACGGG
rnacentral:rRNA from 1 species